CAGGUAGGCUGUAUGGUUGCGUAUAGUACUCUUACUAUAUGAGGAAAGUCCGAGCACUACAGAGCAGAAUGCCACUUAACUAGUGGGAAGAGUAAUCUUACGGAUAGUGCAACAGAAAAUAUACCGCCACUCUAAUCCGGUGGUAAGGGCGAAAUGGUGAUGGUAAGAGCUCACCAGAAGCGUAGCAAUAUGCUUGCUUGGCAAACCCCAUUCAGUGCAAGACCAAAUAGGGGAAGAGGAACUGCUCGUUCCGUUACGAUUCCUGGGUUGGUCGCUUGAGGUUAUCAGUGAUGAUAAUCCCAGAGAAAUAAUCAUACACGACAGAACUCGGCUUAUAGGCUUACCUGCCCU
rnacentral:RNase_P_RNA from 6 species